AAGUUCCGACCUGCAUGAAUGGCGUAACGACUGGACCACUGUCUCCACGAGCGACUCGGUGAAACUGUAGUUGUUGUGAAGAUGCAACAUACCCGCAAUUAGACGGAAAGACCCCGUGAACCUUUACUGCAGCUUAGUAUUGGGUUUAGUCCCAACAUGCGUAGCGUAGGUGGGAGGUUAUGAACCUGGCGUUUAGGCGCCAGGGGAGCCGACCAAUGAAACACCACCCUUGUUGUGUUUGAAUUCUAACCCCGUCCCGUGAAUCCGGGCGGCGGACAGUGCUAAGUGGGCAGUUUGACUGGGGCGGUCUCCUCCCAAAGAGUAACGGAGGAGUCCAAAGGUACCCUCAGCCCGGUCGGCAAUCGGGCAACGAGCGUAAAGGUAUAAGGGUGCUUGACUGCGAGUCCCAUAAGACGAGCAGGUGCGAAAGCAGGGCUUAGUGAUCCGGCGGUGCUGGAUGGAAAGGCCGUCGCUCAACAGAUAAAAGGUACUCCGGGGAUAACAGGCUUAUCUCCUCUGAGCGUUCAUAGCGGCGAGGAGGUUUGGCACCUCGAUGUCGGCUCAUCGCAUCCUGGGGGUGAAGAAGCUCCCAAGGGUUUGGCUGUUCGCCAAUGAAAGCGGUACGUGAGCUGGGUUCAGACCGUCGUGAGACAGGUCGGUCCCUAUCUGUUGCGGGCGCAGGAUACUUGAGCAGUUUCCUCCCUAGUACGAGAGGACUGGGAGGGACGUACCUAUAGUGUUCCAGUUGUCGCGCUAGCGGCAUCGCUGGGUAGCUACGUACGGCUCGGAUAAACGCUGAAGGCAUAUAAGCGUGAAACCCUCUGCAAGAUUAGGUAUCCAUGUUCUUUGAACGAAGGCUCCUGGUAGAACACCAGGUUGAUAGGCCGGGUGUGUAAGGCUGGUAACAGCUUUAGCUGACCGGUACUAAUAGCCCACUGUUUG
rnacentral:rRNA from 1 species